AUGAACGGGUCAAAUGGAUACAAGUUCAAGUAUGAAGCUCACAAGGAUGCAAGGAGUGAACCGGAAAUGGAUAAUUGCGUCGCUAUAAAGUAACGGCUAAUAAAAGCAAGGUGAAUGUAGCUACCAUCCGGGUGUCGAUCAAGCAAUGAAGUGAACCGAACACUAUGCAGUUACAAGCUUCCGCACAUAGUUUCGUCGUUAUUUUUAAACGACGAACU
rnacentral:lncRNA from 1 species